AACGAACGCUGGCGGCAUGCCUAACACAUGCAAGUCGAACGAGACCUUCGGGUCUAGUGGCGCACGGGUGCGUAACGCGUGGGAACCUGCCCUUAGGUUCGGAAUAACUCCCCGAAAGGGGUGCUAAUACCGGAUAAUGUCUUCGGACCAACGAUUUAUCGCCUUUGGGUGGGCCCGCGUUGGAUUAGCUAGUUGGUAGGGUAAAAGCCUACCAAGGCGACGAUCCAUAGCUGGUCUGAGAGGAUGAUCCGCCACACUGGGACUGAGACACGGCCCAGACUCCUACGGGAGGCAGCGGUGGGGAAUAUUGUACAAUGGGCGAAAGCCUGAUCCAGCAAUGCCGCGUGAGUGAUGAAGGCCUUAGGGUUGUAAAGCUCUUUUACCCGGGAUGAUAAUGACAGUACCGGGAGAAUAAGCUCCGGCUAACUCCGUG
rnacentral:rRNA from 1 species